UAUGUCCCCCACUAUAGUAGUGGGGGACAUAUUGUUUUUGCCCUGUCUGUCUGUUGGUCUGUUUGCGCCAACUUUAACAUUUUGCAAUAACUUUUGCUAUAUUGAAGAUAGCAACUUCAUAUUUGGCAUGCAUGUGUAUCUCAUGAAGCUGCACAUUUUGAGUGGUGAAAGGUCAAGGUCAUCCUUCAAGGUCAGAGGUCAAAUAUAUGUGGCCCAAAUCGCUUAUUUUAUGAAUACUUUUGCAAUAUUGAAGAUAGCAACUUGAUAUUUGGCAUGCAUGUGUAUCUCAUGGAGCUGCACAUUUUGAGUGGUGAAAGGUCAAGGUCAAGGUCAUCCUUCAAGGUCAGAGGUCAAAUAUAUGUGGCCAAAAUCCCUCAUUUUAUGAAUACUUUUGCAAUAUUGAAGAUAGCAACUUGAUAUUUGGCAUGCAUGUGUAUCUCAUGGAGCUGCACAUUUUGAGUGGUGAAAGGUCAAGGUCAGGGUCAUCCUUUAAGGUCAGAGGUCAAAUAUAUGUGGCCCGAAUGGCUUUUUUAUGAAUACUUUUGCAAUCUUGAAGAUAGCAACUUGAUAUUGGGCAUGCAUAUGUAUCUCAUGGAGCUGCACAUUUUGAGUGGUGAAAGGUCAAGGUCAUCCUUCAAGGUCAGAGGUCAAAUAUAUGUGGCCCAAAUCGCUUAUUUUAUGAAUACUUUUUCAAUAUUUAAGAUAGGAACUUGAUAUUUGGCAAGCAUGUGUAUCUCAUGGAGCUGCACAUUUUGAGUGGUGAAAGGUCAAGGUCGAGGUCAUCCUUCAAGGUCAAAUAUAUGGGUCAAAAUUGCUCAUGUAAUGUCACUUCUGCAAUAUUGAAGCUAGCAAUUUAAAAUUUGAAAUGCAUGUGUAUCUCAUGGAGCUGCACAUUUUGAGUGGUGAAGGGUCAAUGUCAAGGUCAUCCUUCAAGGUAAAACGUCAUUGUGUUUCACAAACGCAUCUUGUUUUCUUAUGUAUUGCUGCAGAGUCUGCAGAUAGUGCAAACUGUUUCUACAUAUGUACACAAAGUCAGUUUUAUUCAUUGAGUACUGAAAUAAUAUACUUAUUUUAACUUUCCGAUCAUUUAGUAUGAACUAGUCUGAGUAACAGUUUUUGUCUGUAAGACAAUGUUUGUUAUAUAAAUUAAAAACUUUGCAAUUGUGUUUUUGCAAAUACAAACUAAGAUAAAGAUUAAGUGGCAAACGUUAUUGUAAAUAAGACACCCCAAAGUGGAAGUUCAAACUUUAAUACCGCCAAAUAUGCAUUUUUAUAUAGUGCUGCUGCUUAUAUAUUUGAAUAAGAUAAUUUUACUUUUUGUAAGAUUUUGUUAGAAGUGUUAUAUUUAAAAUGUCUUAUAUGACUCAUGUCAUGUUCCAUGUUCUGAAAAAUUAUUGAAUAACAUGGUUUUCCAUGAAGUCGGUCAAAAAUAUUUGCAUUCAUUUUCAAUGAACUGCUAUUUUAUCUUGUUAGUGCUUAAUGUUUAUAUUUUAAAUUAUUCAAUGCUGUUUUGUUAUUGAUAAAACGAAAGGUAAUGGCUUUAAAGUAAGAAAUUUGUUGAUUGUGAAGGUCCUUUUUAACCAGGUUUUCCGAAGGAAAAAACUGGUUAUUAGAUUGGCGAAUGCGGGCGGGCUGGCUGGCUGGCUGGCGGGCUGGCGGAAUAAGCUUGUCCGGGCCAUAACUAUGUCGUUCAUUGUCAGAUUUUUAAAUCAUUUGGCACAUUUGUUCACCAUCAUUGGACGGUGUGUCGCGCAAAAUAAUUACGUCGAUAUCUCCAAGGUCAAGGUCACACUUUGAGUUCAAAGGUCAAAAAUGGCCAUAAAUGAGCUUGUCCGAGCCAUAACUAUGUCGUUCAUCGUCAGAUUUUAAAAUCAUUUGGCACAUUUGUUCACCAUCAUUGGACGGUGUGUCGCGCGAAAUAAUUACGUCGAUAUCUCCAAGGUCAAGGUCACACUUUGAGUUCAAAGGUCAAAAAUGGCCAUAAAUGAGCUUGUCCUGGCCAUAACUAUGUCAUUCAUUGUGAGAUUUUAAAAUCAUUUGGCACAUUUGUUCACCAUCAUGGGACAGUGUGUCCCACGAAAGAAUCACGUCAAUAUCUCCAAUGUCAAGGUCGCCACGACUAAAAAUAGAUUUAAAAAAAAAAAAAAAACUUACAAAGGGGGUUAAUUUUUUUUGGUCAUUUCAAAAGUUCAGUUUGAGUUUUCUCCCUUUAUCAGAUUUUUUUUUCACAAUGAAAACCUGGUUUUGUGACAAUUUUGUCCCUUGUUAGACAAUUUAAAAUGAAACCGUUUUCGCAUGUGAUCAUUUACAAUACUAAAACUACUAUGUCUGAGAACAACUAAUCAUUUGGGUUUUACACAAUUUUAUUUUUAGUAAGUGUUUAGUUUUUGUUAAAUAUUUGUGGCUUAACUUGGCACAAAAAGUUACGCUGGUUAUUGUACUUUUUCUUGGAGUCUAGUUUUUGUGCGUUUAGAAUAAUACUUGUGUUUCUUCAUGCAUCAUUGACUUUUGAAUGGUUUUUAAGUAAUUAGGGUAGUGCAUAUGUGUAUAUAAUGUGGGCUUACUUUUUGUCGGGCUUCAUCAGGAUAACAGUAUGGGGCUUGUUUAAAAUGUGAAUUGUUGUCUAUAUUAAGAUUGCAUAUUUUCUUUAAAUGAAGUAACUAAUUUGUUUGUGAAAUAUUGAGCAUUUUUGUUAUAACGUACAUAUAUUUGUUGAUUUAAAGAUGCCACAUUUUAUUUUGCCUAUGCAUACAGUAUAUAAAUUUAUUAAUUCUACCAAAAAUA